rnacentral:rRNA from 1 species
AAACUGACGGANCUCUUCGGAGGGAAGGCANCCCCNUAAGGGGCGGANGGGUGAGUAACACGUAAGGAACCUGCCUCAAGGAUUGGGAUAACUCCNAGAAAUCGGAGCUAAUACCGGAUAGUUCANCGGACCGCAUGGUCCGCUGAUGAAAGGCGCUCCGGCGUCACCUUGAGAUGGCCUUGCGGUGCAUUAGCUAGUUGGUGNGGUAACGGCCCACCAAGGCGACGAUGCAUAGCCAACCUGAGAGGGUGAUCGGCCACACUGGGACUGAGACACGGCCCANACUCCUACGGGAGGCAGCAGUAGGGAAUCUUCCACAAUGGACGAAAGUCUGAUGGAGCAACGCCGCGUGAGUGAUGAAGGUUUUCGGAUCGUAAAACUNUGUUGUAAGGGAAGAACACGUACGANAGGAAAUGCUCGUACCUUGACGGUACCUUACGAGAAAGCCACGGNUAACUACGUGCCAGCAGCCGCGNUAAUACGUAGGUGGCAAGCGUUGUCCNGAAUUAUUGGGCGUAAAGCGCGCGCAGGCGGCCUUUUNAGUCUGAUGUGAAAGCCCCCGGCUCANCCGGGGAGGGCCNUUGGAAACUGNGAAGGNUUUGAUNACAGAACAGAAGAGUGGANUUCCACGUGUAGCGGUGAAAUGCNUNAUAGAUGUGGAGGAACNCCAGUGGCGAAGGCGACUCUUUGGUCUGNAACUGAACGCUGAG